rnacentral:misc_RNA from 1 species
UAGGCAACUAAGUUUUUCUUCGUGACUUCACGAAGGGCCUAUAGCUCAGUUGGUUAGAGCACACGCCUGAUAAGCGUGAGGUCGGUGGUUCAAGUCCAUUUAGGCCCACCA